rnacentral:rRNA from 1 species
CCUACGGGACGCAGCAGUGGGGAAUAUUGCACAAUGGGGGAAACCCUGAUGCAGCCAUGCCGCGUGUGUGAAGAAGGCCUUCGGGUUGUAAAGCACUUUCAGUAGGGUGGAAGGUAGUGUAGUUAACACCUGCACUAUUUGACGUUACCUACAGAAGAAGCACCGGCUAACUCCGUGCCAGCAGCCGCGGUAAUACGGAGGGUGUGAGCGUUAAUCGGAAUUACUGGGCGUAAAGCGCAUGCAGGCGGCCUGUUAAGUCAGAUGUGAAAGCCCGGGGCUUAACCUCGGAAUUGCAUUUGAAACUGGCAGGCUAGAGUCUUGUAGAGGGGGGUAGAAUUUCAGGUGUAGCGGUGAAAUGCGUAGAGAUCUGAAGGAAUACCAGUGGCGAAGGCGGCUCUCUGGUCUGUAACUGACGCUGAGGCUCGAAAGCGUGGGGAGCAAACAGGAUUAGAUACCCCUGUAGUC